UAGUCAAAAGACUUUAAUGCCCAUCGUUUAUGUUUCCCUUCACCACAAGUAAAGGGUAUAGCAGAAAAUUAUAAUUAUACCGACGGCAAAAGUCGAAACAGAACACGACGAGUUCCCAACUCUUGGCUCGAAGCGUUCUCCAGACAUCCCCCGACCUGCGCUGCUUUGACCCACCCCACGCCUCUCCGUCUUCGCCCCUGACCGGACCAUUCUACUGCGGCGCUUCGCCUCCGCAAUCCUCUCCGCCGUUACACCGCCACCUUGGUACGCUUCCAACUCGCCAUCCUCGGUGGCGAGCACAAGCUGGUCGCAGCCCACGAGGAUGGCCUGUAGAUCGAUGGCUGCCUCGCAGCUUUAUGGAUCCGGUUUGGUGGCGAAGAGGAGCAUGCGAUCCUUGGAGGGGCUUCGGCCUUCUCUGCCGCGGUCCAGGGUUUCUUCUUCCGAUUCCGUGGAUGUCAAAAGCAUGUUUUUCAGAGUCCCUGCCUUUAGAGUUUCCAACAUCAGUGGCAGAAAGCUUUCAGUUUCUAUGUCCCUUAAUGGAACCAGUGCUGGAAGCAAUGUUGAUGCCAAUAAUGCCAUAAGAUAUGCAGAGGGUACUAAACCAGAUCUAGUCUAUGAUCCACUUAAAUCUAAUCCAACUGAAGAAUCAUUCGAUGGAAAAAUGGGUAUGGACAUGCGUAUACAGAAGGAGGGCAUCAUCCCAACCAAAAGAAGUGCUAAAUUACAUGAUUUUUGCUUCGGCAUUCCUUUUGGUGGAUUUUUAUUUGCUGGAGGGCUGCUAGGCUUUAUUUUCUCUAGAAAUGCCACGGCCAUGAUACAUGGUGGUGCUAUUUUGGUGCUGAGUGUACUUAGCCUAAAAGUUUGGAGGACUGGAAGAUCCAGCUUACCAUUUAUACUGGGUCAAGCAGCCUUCUCUGCUGCGUUUCUCUGGAAGCUUAUGCAGGCAUACACAUUGUCAAAGAAACUCUUUCCCACAGGAUUUUAUAUCUUCUCGAGUGCUGCAAUGAUAUGCUUUUAUUCGUAUGUGUUGAUCUCCGGCGGAAACCCACCACCGAAGAAGUUGGCAGCAGCUCCCCAGUCAUAAGCCAUGAGAAUUUGUACAAAAAACCUCUCUAUGAGCAUGUGUCUUCAUUUAAAUUAAUAGCUUGGUUUGGAAUAGUGGAAUGAUCCUUUUUUCACUGAGAUGCCUACAAAUCGGAGCAUUCAAUUUGCAGUCCUAAAUUUCAAUGAUGAUGAUCCUUGCUAUGUAAAUCGCAAUUACAUUGUUCCAGAUGCAUAACUUGUGUUUCCAAUUGCACUCAAGUUCAGGUAAUGGUUCUAGACACCAGCAACUGAGAUCUAAACGAUCACAGGCUAUGAUCUAAACAAUGGUGAAAAAGAUGUUAAGAGAGCCUUUCCUCCAUCCAACAUCCAUCUCUCUGGAACCAGUUCAUGAUGAUGGGGAUAUGUUGAAGCCGCACACGGUCGUCCUCGGUCUGUCCCCCUCCUUGCAGCUUCUCCACCAGCUCAAUCGGCAUGCCCUCGAGUUCCAGCUUCUGCAAGCCACCGAGGCUCUCGAGGGCGUUCUCUUCUAUUUCCAUGUGGCUGAGGUGGAUCAUAUCACACAGCCCCAAAGACUUGAGCCUCCGGAGCCAACCGGCACGGAAGCACAGCUCGGUCCCGUCGUAUGCUUGCAUGAGAAAGAGGGACACCAGGUUGGGCAACUCCAUGAGCGAAGACAGCGAGUCCUCCUUGAGUCUCGACAUCUUUAGGACCAAAUGAGUGAGAGCUCUGAGAGAGUCAGGCCACCGAGACGUCAUCCCCUUCUCCAGCAUCCCGUACAAGCUCAGCUUCCGCAGCUGCGGCGGAGGAGUGAGGUUGUUUAGCAGCAAGGUGUCGUCUUUGUGCCUCGCCAUCACCACCAGGCGAACAAGGCGAUCCAUAUUGGAUAUGGACGCCGAGAGCAACUUGCUGUGGAUGGUUCUCACGCCUCUGAUGUCCAAGCUCUUCAUCUGCGUCAGACUCCGCAGAUGCCGGACCGUCGUCUCGUCCUCCACCACCACGGCCCUCAGAGUCUGCAGCUUCUUCAGCUUGCCAAUCCCGCCCGGAACGACGACUCCGCCGCCGAGAAUGGUGUAUCUUGAAGUCUGACGGUGGAACUUCUUCACCAUCAGAUGCCGCAGGCUCUCCAGCCUUGUGACUCCGCUGGGGAGCUCCUCGACGUGGGUGUAGACCGCAUCCAAGGUUUCAAGCUUCCGAAGGCUUCCCAGUGUUUUGGGCAGGUGCCUGACAUUGGUGCGCCGUAUGCUCAGGUAUCGCAAGUUGAAGAGGUGGCCUAUCUCGUCCGGCAAGCUCUUCAAUGGAGCGGCGCGGAGAUCCAAGACUCUUAUCAGCCGACACUUGGAGAGCAGCGAGGUGGAAGCCGGUGAGAACGCAAGGAAGGACCGAAGCAGCGGCAUCUUCUCGCUCAGCCUCUCAUCUUCACCCUGCACGAGGGAGAGCCGCCGGAUCCGAUCGCUUAAAUCUUCCGGCUUGCCGUCGUACGCCUCGGCGAAGUGCUCCUCUCUGGAUCUGGCCACGAUGAGCUCCCUGACGAGGUCAUGAACUCGGCAGAAGCGCACCCUUCCGGACUCGUUUGUGUGGGUGACUUGGAGCAGGCAGCGGCCGACCAGUUGGUUGAGGUAGUCCUCGGCCACCUCCUCCAUCGACCUCUGACGCCGCUCCUUCACGAACCCUUCCGCCACCCAGAGCCUGAUCAACCGAUUUCUUCCGAUGAGGUAACCCUCCGGGAAGAGGCUGCAGUGUAAGAGGCAGUUCCUGAGGUGGUACGGUAGAUGCCUGAUGCUUAGGCUCAGGAUUCUGGAGACUCUAUGGAGCCCUGUGUGUUCGGUGGUAGACCAUGUCAGGCCGUCGUGCAUGCUCUUCCAUGUCGACUCCGCCCUGUCCCUGUGGGACAACAGGAUGCCGAUGGCGACGAUGGCGAGGGGGAGGCCUUCGCACUUGUCCACGAUUCUUCUGGCCCAGUGCUCCAGCGCCGGGGGGCACACGCUUCCUUCCCCCCUCGGAAACGCCUUCUUGCAGAAGAGAGACCACGCCAUCUCCUCCGGCAGAGGGUCCACUGUCAUGACCCGGCUGCCACCCGCCACCGAAGCCACUUCCUGCAUCCUCGUGGUGAUGACGACUCUGCUCCGGCAGCUGUUGGCGAGCAGCGCGUAGCUGAUGUCCGUCCAGAUGCUGACUUGCCACACAUCGUCCAGCACAAUCAGGUACCUCUGGCGGUCCAGAUGCGCGCGGAGUGCUUCCACCAGCCUCCUGUACUCCAUCGAAUCGAAGUCGUCGGCGGCCUCUUCCAUCCUCUCCUGCAGCAGCGCCCUCAGGAUCUUCCGCAGCAGGUCAUCGAUGUUGUAGUUUUGGGACACAAAGACCCACGCGCGGCAGCUGAAGUGGCUGAGGAUUGCUCUGUCUCUGUAAACUCUGGUCACGAGGGUGGUCUUCCCGACGCCGCCCAUGCCGAAGACGGCGACUGCGGUGCGCCGGGGCUCCUCGUCCGUCAGCAACCCGAUAAGCCUAUCUUUGUGGUCGUCGAUCCCCACAAGUUCGUCUUCCUCGACGAAGUGUGCUGAUUCCGCUAAAUGGUAGCCCGGCUGGGGGUCGUCGGGCAGCUCCGCCAACCUCUGUGGGAUUCUGAUGACAGGCAACUCUCCGAUUCCUGAUAGCUGAGCAAGGCUAACUUCCUUGGCCUCCAGUCUCCUGGCGAUUUCGCGCAAAGCAGUGGCCUUGGCGUCGUUGGAGAGGCCACGGACGAAGGCUCCCAAGCUGCCCCAGCUGCUACCGGCGACGACGUAGGUGUACUCGUCGACGAUGUCCUCGAUGUCGUAGGCCACAUCUUGAACCUGCUUGGCCCAGGAGAUAAAGACCAGCUCUUGUUCGCCUCUGUACGUGUUCAUGGACUUGAGGAACUCCUGCAUCACCUCGAGCUCGCUCUUGAUCCGGAUCAUCCCUUCGUGAACGUUCUGCUGAGGCCUGGCGAGGCUGCCGGGAGGUCGGACUGCUGCAGUGGCCACAGCAUCGGUCAUCUUCUCGAUCAAGCUGAAGACUACAACCUCUGCCAUCUUAUCUCAAGAUCUUCCUCUAUCGGAGAAACUGCUACUGUACAAGGCCAGAUCAAAGGCCAGAGUUCAUCUACCCACCAUUUGGCCUCUAUAGAGUUGAUAUUGUUUUCGGAGCAUUUAGCUCCAAGAUUUCUCCAUCUCUCUGACAACGAAAGAAAAUUCCUGUUAGACCAAACUCAGCACGAACGGUAAGGGACGAAGAAGAAGAAGUCAAAUUUUCUAUGCUUUCCUUGAUCCUUCACACAGAUUCCUUCUUGUACCAGCUCAUGUCUCAUUCGGUGGUGUGGUGUCGGCAGUCGAAACAAGGGACAGGCAUUGCUUUCAUCUGUCCUCGGAAGAAAGCAUAUGAUAGGUGACAAAGAGGACUAUCAUUGGCUACCCGCAAAGAUCUCUCUAUCCACACUUGUUUCUUAGUAAGAAAGCGUGGCAUAGGUGACACAGAGUACUACCAUUGGCUACCGGUAAAGAUCUCUCUAUCCACACCUAUUGUUUCUAGUAAGAGUCAACACAAGACUCCGAGGCUUUUGAUGCGGAUGGAUUGUAAGGCUUCGAAGAAUCAAGGCCGCAUGAAGCGGCCGUUUUGGGUCACCUUCUGCGACCUGGACUUGUUCUUAGGUCAGGGCAGUUUCAUUGCAGAAAACAGAGACCGGCAUGCUCUACUUGCUCAGACCGUUUGGAAGAAGACGAGAGGAAAAGCUGAAAUAGAAGAUGAACUCCAAAAGUUGGCUGCUGUACUAUUAUUUCUCAUGAACUAAUAAUACCAUUUAUGAUGUCCUAACUUUAUUAGAUAAACGACUCAUUAAUUUUAUUGGGUUUAAUCUACUAAGUUUUUUUUU